rnacentral:rRNA from 1 species
AACAAACGCUGGCGGCGCGCCUAAUACAUGCAAGUCGAACGGGGAAAGUAGCAAUAUGAGUACUAGUGGCGCACGGGUGAGUAAUGCGUGGAUAAUCUGCCUUCGAGUGGGGGAUAACUAGUCGAAAGAUUAGCUAAUACCGCAUAAGACCACAGGAUCUGAGGAUCUAGGGGUUAAAGGUUUUUCGCUUGAAGAUGAGUCCGCGUGAGAUUAGCUAGUUGGUGAGGUAAUGGCUCACCAAGGCAACGAUCUCUAACUGGUCUGAGAGGAUGAUCAGUCACACUGGAACUGAGACACGGUCCAGACUCCUACGGGAGGCAGCAGUAGGGAAUAUUGCACAAUGGAGGAAACUCUGAUGCAGCGACGCCGCGUGAGUGAUGAAGGCCUUCGGGUCGUAAAGCUCUGUCGCAGGGGAAUAACACAAUGAAUGUACCCUGUAAGAAAGGAUCGGCUAACUUCGUGCCAGCAGCCGCCGUAA